rnacentral:rRNA from 1 species
GACGAACGCUGGCGGCGUGCUUAACACAUGCAAGUCGAACGGAAAGGCCCUGCUUUUGUGGGGUGCUCGAGUGGCGAACGGGUGAGUAACACGUGAGUAACCUGCCCUUGACUUUGGGAUAACUUCAGGAAACUGGGGCUAAUACCGGAUAGGAGCUCCUGCUGCAUGGUGGGGGUUGGAAAGUUUCGGCGGUUGGGGAUGGACUCGCGGCUUAUCAGCUUGUUGGUGGGGUAGUGGCUUACCAAGGUUUUGACGGUUAGCCGGCCUGAGGGGGUGACCGGCCACAUUGGGACUGAGAUACGGCCCAGCCUCCUACGGGAGGCAGCAGUGGGAAAUAUUGCACAAUGGGCGGAAGCCGGAUGCAGCAACGCCGCGUGCGGGAUGACGGCCUUCGGGUUGUAAACCGCUUUCGCCUGUGACGAAGCGUGAGUGACGGUAAUGGGUAAAGAAGCACCGGCUAACUACGUG